rnacentral:rRNA from 1 species
CCGUGAGACAGGUGCUGCAUGGCUGUCGUCAGCUCGUGUUGUGAAAUGUUGGGUUAAGUCCCGCAACGAGCGCAACCCUUAUCCUUUGUUGCCAGCGGUCCGGCCGGGAACUCAAAGGAGACUGCCAGUGAUAAACUGGAGGAAGGUGGGGAUGACGUCAAGUCAUCAUGGCCCUUACGACCAGGGCUACACACGUGCUACAAUGGCGCAUACAAAGAGAAGCGACCUCGCGAGAGCAAGCGGACCUCAUAAAGUGCGUCGUAGUCCGGAUUGGAGUCUGCAACUCGACUCCAUGAAGUCGGAAUCGCUAGUAAUCGUGGAUCAGAAUGCCACGGUGAAUACGUUCCCGGGCCUUGUACACACCGCCCGUCACACCAUGGGAGUGGGUUGCAAAAGAAGUAGGUAGCUUAACCUUCGGGAGGGCGCUUACCACUUUGUGAUUCAUGACUGGGGUGAAGUCGUAACAAGGUAACCGUAGGGGAACC